GAAAGCACCUGCUGCAAGGGUUACUUUCAGGUUCUCCAGUGGCCCCUUUACUGUCAGCACCAGGCAUUCUCCCAGGUGUGGCAGCAGAGAGGUGGAGGCUAAGCAGGCAGCCUGUGCCCUGGAGGCACUGCGAAGGGCAGCCCUGUCUCCUUUCCAGGUGCUUGUGGAGCUCUUCUUUGACGUGGGUAGUGUGGCUGGCGGGAGCAGUCUGAGGCACAGGCACUGAGUGCUGGAAACCUGUGGUGUUGAUUAGCAUGAAAUUCACAGCACAUUUAUGCAGAAUGUGACUGAGCAUCUCACUUUGCUUCAGCCACAUCUUCUCUUGCGCUCACCUUGGGCAAACAAGAGAGUGUUGCUGAGGUCCCCCUUUAUUCCUCCUUCAGGUGUCAGAUGAAGUACGGGAGUCUUCCAUCCUCCUCUUCAAAGAUGUGAUAGAGGCUGUGGUGUGGUGGCAAAAGGGAAAAAUGAAGAAGAAAGUACACUGGGGCCUGAUCCCUCUGCUCUUUCGAAACAGCGAUGAGAGCUCGAGCGUUGCACAGGCUGCUAGGGAAGCCCUUGUUGCUUUGUGCAAAGUUCCUGAACUGGCAGGAGAUCGAGCACCAGGCCAUGAAGAGGAAUACACUGGGGAUCAUGGAGUGCUUGCUACAACAGGACAGGAGGAGGGUGCAAAAAUACCUGUGGGCAGAGCGUGCUGCACCUGAAGGAUUCUCAGGCUUCUCUGCGACAAGAGGCGCUCUCAUUCAUUGGGCUGGUGAGGCUCCACUGUGACCGAUGUCAGGGAAACUGGAAGAAAACCUACAGUGGAAAUGCUGCAGAGACAGAGGAACAUCCUUGGGGCAGAUGGAAGUAUCCUGAGCAGUGCCUUCCAGUCCUCCUUCCUUUGGAACAUGACACCCAUCCAGUGGUCCAUUCUUUGGCAACUCUGACAGUCCUGGAGCUGAUACAAUCACAGCGGCAGGCAAAAUCAGGAUGGGACAGGCUUGUAGAACUGUGUUGCCGGCUGUGGCCAUUCCCUCUUUCCUCACGAGGAUGACUGAUUAAUGCUUCCGUUAUGAAGCUGUUCCUUUGGCUGUCUCCUGGUGGAUUGAAGCAUCGAGAAUGGACGGAAAUCAGAGGAUUGGUCUAGAUGCAAGAGCGUAUCCUCAGAAUUCUUGCUCCCAGUACAAAAUGGGGAGGUGCUACCGAUUCCCCAGAAGGGCUAAAGGCCUUUCAUGAGGAUACAGGUGCAUUGGAGAGCUGAACAGUCAGCAGCAGCAUGCAUUCCCACUGAAGAAGAUAAAGUCUUAAACUGGCAUACAUCAUUCCAGGCUUGCGAAGGAGUGGCAGGAAAGCUGUCUGAUGAAAAGGGAUCUUGGUAUACUGUUGGCUGAAUAUGAGCCAGUGGUGUGCCGAGGUGCCUAUUAGAAUGGUUGGUGAGCAAGACUCAGGAAGUAAUGAUGCCCCUGUUCUUGGCACUGAUGAGGUCCCACCUGAAGUACUGCGUUCAGUUCAGUACGUAACCUCAGUACAGAAGGGACGUUGAGGUGCUGGAGCAGGUCUGAAGAAGGGCAGCAAGGCUUGUCAAUGGCUAGGAAAAUAUGCCCUAUAAGGAGCAACUAAAGCUUUUUUAGGCUGGGGAAGAGGAGGCUGAGAUAGCUCCUAAAGCAAUGUCUCCUCUUUAUUUUCAUGGAAUCUACAACAGAUGCAAUGAGUGCAGUAACUUUUUGGUAGAGAGGAUUUUCAGCUGCAAAGUAAUUUUUUUUUUUAUUUAUUUAUUUUUUCCAAUGAGGUCCCUACCUUCAGCUCUGCAUUUUCACUACCACAUGAACAACAGCCUUAAUACUGUGAUCGUAACCAUGUGCAGCAGUGAAGGUGACCACAGCUACCAUAUUGCCAAGAUCAUAAAUUAAGCGGCAUUACUUUCAAAGCAGCCCCCAUAACAUAAUAGAAAUAAUGUAUGUAAGUAACAAAAGUUAUCUUUUAAAAUAUUUAAAUGUUAAAGAAGAGAGCAACAAAGUCAUAAAACAAUUGGAAUACGUUGUGAAAUUAAUUCAUCAGUCGUUGCAACUCUUAGUGAGGGUCUUUGUCAGAGAUUUUUGACAGUAACUGUUCCCAAAUGUAGACAGUGCCAAAAAAGGUGAUGACAUGAACAACACCUGAUUGUAAAGCGAGGCAUACCUUUCUCUGCUAAGACUGGGCUUCUGAAAGUCCAGCAGAGAGACAGGAUCAGAGUUUUGAGUUGAAUGUCUGAUUGCAACUCUACGUUCCAUUUGAAAAUCUGCACUUGUUUUGCCUGCAAAUGGAGUUGCAAACAUAAAUUGAUGACUUUUGAAACCUAUUUUCAAGUUCCUGUAUCAAAACAGAAAGCACAGUUGCAUGUUUCUCUGUGUUCCAAGGACCGAGUUCAGCCAGUGUUUCAAAAUGUCUAAAAUUAUUUGCCAUAGCUUAUGUUAGCACUGCACUACACCCUCCCCAUGCCCUGUUUCAGGCAAGACUGCAUUUGAUAGGACACUGGUGUGUGUUUGUUGCUGAGCAGUAAGUGCAUACUUGGAGGGGUCGAGCCUCCUCUGUGAUGGCAUGGGGCAGAGAAGGUGGCUGCAUUGUGGGCUGUGCCUGGUCAUGUGCCACAGGUUAGACAUGCCUGUAUAGAAGCUAGAGGCAUCAAAGUUCUCAAACAGAAUUUCAGAGCAAUUUAAACGAAAACAGAUUAGACUAGUUUAAUUGGAGCUGGUUAAAAACAUUCCCUGAAAAGAAACUGGAUGUCAAAUCAACUUAGUAUUAGACAGAAAGAAGAAAAAAUAUCUGAUGUCUUCCUAGUUUUUGUCCUCUUUAUUCCUUUACUUGUAUUGAAAAAUAGGUAAAAACAGAAAGCAUGCAAUGCAAAGAUUUGUGCAAGGCAACCUCCCAAGUCUGAUGAAAAGGGCUUGAUAGAAAACUAUGUUUUUGUUUGGGGAUUUUUGCUAAAAACUGCAAGUGCUUGUGAAAACAUAUACAAAUAUGAUUGUUUUUGUAUUGAAGUUUAUGCUGAAAAUAAUGAUAAU